rnacentral:rRNA from 1 species
UACGUAGGGCGCAAGCGUUGUCCGGAAUUAUUGGGCGUAAAGAGCUCGUAGGUGGUCUGUCGCGUCUGGUGUGAAAUCCCGAGGCUCAACCUCGGGCUUGCAUCGGGUACGGGCAGACUAGAGUGCGGUAGGGGAGACUGGAAUUCCUGGUGUAGCGGUGGAAUGCGCAGAUAUCAGGAGGAACACCGAUGGCGAAGGCAGGUCUCUGGGCCGCAACUGACGCUGAGGAGCGAAAGCAUGGGGAGCGAACAGG